GCGAAGAGAUGGGAUAGAUCCCAACCGAGGGAUACCGGGCUGGCAGCUCAAGGACAGUCCAGAGCCCUGAACUUGCGUGGACUGUCCUGGAAAAUCCAGGAAGGAUGAUAUUAUGACACUGUCUUUAAGGUCCCUUCCAGCUAUAGUAGUCCAUGAUUCUAAUUCAUCCAGCACAUCAAAAGAGAGACUGAUCACCUGCCCUGAUGAGGACAGCAGCACUGACCCUACACCUCACCCCACCCCUCCUUAGGAAUUCAUAGAUGGACAAGAUCGUACUUCAGAGCAAAUUAUUCUUUGCAACAAAAAAGAAGAAAAGAGAAGAAAAAAAGUUCACCAAAACUAACAGACACAUCAGCCAGGUCUGACAACAUAUGCAAUGUUCCUCAACCAUUGUCCUUCACCUCUACAAAGAAAGGAGAGAAUUACAUUUUCUUAUCUCUUUUGGAGAG